CCAAUAGCGUAUAUUAAAGUUGUUGCAAUUAAAAAGCUCGUAGUUGAAUUUCGGGAUCAAGUCGUCGGUCGUGCUCAGGUACGUACUGGCGUCAUUGAUUUCUCCCUUCUGACGAACCAUGAUGUCAUUAACUUGGUGUCAUGGGAAAUCAGGACUGUUACUUUGAAAAAAUUAGAGUGUUUAAAGCAGGCUCACGCUUGAAUACAUUAGCAUGGAAUAAUGAAAUAGGACGUUCGAUCCUAUUUUGUUGGUUUUAGGAUCAACGUAAUGAUUAAUAGGGAUAGUUGGGGGCAUUAGUAUUCAAUUGUCAGAAGUGAAAUUCUUGGAUGUAUUGAAGACUAACUACUGCGAAAGCAUUUGCCAAGGAUGUUUUCAUUAAUCAAGAACGAAAGUUAGGGGAUCGAAGACGAUCAGAUACCGUCGUAGUCUUAACCAUAAACUAUGCCGACUAGGGAUCGGAUGAUGUUAAGUUUUUAAUGACUCAUUCGGCGCCUUACGGAAAACCAAAGUGUUUGGGUC
rnacentral:rRNA from 1 species